AAACUGGGGAUAAUACCGGAUAANCCAUAGAAGCUGGAAUGCCCUAUGGUUCAAAGCUCCGGCGCCUAAGGAUGGAUCUGCGGUCUAUCAGGUUGUAGUGGGUGUAACGUACCUACUAGCCGACGACGGAUACGGGUUGUGAGAGCAAGAGCCCGGAGAUGGAUUCUGAGACACGAAUCCAGGCCCUACGGGGUGCAGCAGGCGCGAACACUUUACAAUGCGGGAAACCGCGAUAAGGGAACCCCGAGUGCCAGCAUCAAAUGUUGGCUGUCCAGAUGAUCAAAAAUCAUUUGUUAGCAAGGGCCGGGCAAGACCGGUGCCAGCCGCCGCGGUAACACCGGCGGCCCGAGUGGUAGCCGUUUUUAUUGGGUCUAAAGGGUCCGUAGCCGGCCUGAUAAGUCCUUUGGGAAAUCUGGCAGCUUAACUGUCAGGCUUCUAAGGGAUACUGUCAGGCUUGGGACCGGAAGAGGUAAGGGGUACUCCAGGGGUAGGAGUGAAAUCUUGUAAUCCCUGGGGGACCAUCUGUGGCGAAGGCGCCUUACCAGAACGGGUCCGACGGUGAGGGACGAAAGCUAGGGGAGCAAACCGGAUUAGAUACCCGGGUAGUCCUAGCUGUAAACGAUGCUCGCUAGGUGUCAGACACGGUGCGACCGUGUUUGGUGCCGCAGGGAAGCCGUUAAGCGAGCCACCUGGGAAGUACGGUCGCAAGGCUGAAACUUAAAGGAAUUGGCGGGGGAGCAC
rnacentral:rRNA from 1 species